UACGUAGGGGGCAAGCGUUGUCCGGAAUCAUUGGGCGUAAAGCGCGCGUAGGCGGCCCGGUAAGUCCGUUGUAAAAGUCAAAGGCUCAACCUUUGAAAGCCGAUGGAUACUGCCGGGCUAGAAUCCGGAAGAGGCAAGUGGAAUUCCUGGUGUAGCGGUGGAAUGCGCAGAUAUCAGGAGGAACACCUAUAGCGAAGGCAGCUUGCUGGGACGUAACUGACGCUAAGGCGCGAAAGCGUGGGAGCGAACAGG
rnacentral:rRNA from 1 species